rnacentral:rRNA from 1 species
GAUGGACGCUGGCGGCGUGCCUAAUACAUGCAAGUCGAGCGAACAGACGAGGAGCUUGCUCCUUUGACGUUAGCGGCGGACGGGUGAGUAACACGUAGGUAACCUACCUAUAAGACUGGGAUAACUUCGGGAAACCGGAGCUAAUACCGGAUAAUAUUUCGAACCGCAUGGUUCGAUAGUGAAAGAUGGCUUUGCUAUCACUUAUAGAUGGACCUGCGCCGUAUUAGCUAGUUGGUAAGGUAACGGCUUACCAAGGCAACGAUACGUAGCCGACCUGAGAGGGUGAUCGGCCACACUGGAACUGAGACACGGUCCAGACUCCUACGGGAGGCAGCAGUAGGGAAUCUUCCGCAAUGGGCGAAAGCCUGACGGAGCAACGCCGCGUGAGUGAUGAAGGUCUUCGGAUCGUAAAACUCUGUUAUUAGGGAAGAACAAACGUGUAAGUAACUGUGCACGUCUUGACGGUACCUAAUCAGAAAGCCACGGCUAACUACGUG